rnacentral:RNase_P_RNA from 1 species
ACGGAUGGCUGGAUGGCCGCGCGGGAGUCACUGCCGUGAGGAAAGUCCGGACUCCAAAUGGACAACGGCGCCGGGUAACGCCCGGCCGGGGAGACCUGAGGGAAAGCGCCACAGAGAUCAGACCGCCUUAUGCAAGGUAAGGGUGAAACGGUGGAGUAAGAGACCACCGCGCUUCCGGCGACGGAAGCGGCACGGCAAGCCCCGCCGGGAGCAAUGCCGAAUAGGGACCGUAUGCGGCUGCGCCGCGGGCCUGUCCUGGCCUUCACGGUCCGGGUUGGCAGCAUGACCGCCACGGUGACGCGGCGGCGAGAUGAAUGGCUAUCCAGAGGGGAAUUAUCCUCUUGGACAGAAUCCGGCUUACAGGCUGUCCGUGCUG